UGCCAGACUCCUACGGGAGGCAGCAGUGAGGAAUAUUGGUCAAUGGGCGGGAGCCUGAACCAGCCAUGCCGCGUGAAGGCGAGUGCCCUACGGGCGUUAAACUUCUUUUGUGCGGGAGCAAUAAGGGCCACGUGUGGCCCGAUGAGAGUACCGCACGAAUAAGCAUCGGCUAACUCCGUGCCAGCAGCCGCGGUAAUACGGGGGAUGCGAGCGUUAUCCGGAUUUAUUGGGUUUAAAGGGUGCGUAGGUUGUUUUAUAAGUUAGCGGUGAAAUACCGAUGCUCAACAUCGGGGCUGCCGCUAAUACUGUAGGACUAGAGAUCGGAUGCAGCAGGCGGAAUGUGUAGUGUAGCGGUGAAAUGCAUAGAUAUUACACAGAACACCGAUUGCGAAGGCAGCUUGCUAGGCCGGAUCUGACACUGAUGCACGAAAGCGUGGGGAUCGAACAGGAUUAGAUACCCGAGUA
rnacentral:rRNA from 1 species